GAGUCGCCGUGCCGAAAUUGCGAUAUUGGUCGAAAGGGGCCCUAGGUCUAAUUUGAAAUUUUUUGGGACACGUACAGGUACCAAUAGUGCGUUUCAGUUUCCCGGAAAAAAAUUCAGGAAAAAUUAGGGACCGCCUGUAGACGCACUGUAGAGUCGAAUUCAGACCCCGAAACAGGUAAGGACCCCUCACCCUAUUUCCUAUCACGGUAUUAA
rnacentral:lncRNA from 1 species